AUUAAUCUGAAAUAUUUGUGACUUUCAUAUUUUGAACCUACAUUAUGAAAAAGGGAGUUCAACAUUUAGAUGCGGAUAUGAACCAUUACGUGAGACCUCUAUAUGGCAGUGAAGGAGAUAGAAGCAUCUGUGAGGACACCCACCUAUCGAUGAGAUAGGUGUCAAAAUAUGAGGUACGGUAUUUUGGAUUACAU
rnacentral:other from 1 species